rnacentral:lncRNA from 10 species
AGAGCCUCCAGUGCCCAGCUGGAAAGACAGAGCUGACCUUCAGUGGCGGCCUCUUGCCCUGGGAAACCAACAUGCCGCGAGCUGCUAGAAACCCGCGGAGGUCUCCAAGAUUCCCUUUAGCUGGAUGUCCCUCCAUUAAGAUGCAGCACCGUUGGAUGUCUUCGUCCGUUGGCUUAAAAAAAAAUAAACAACAAAAAAGAUGCAACACCGACAACUCUUGGGAGGAGAGGACUCCAUUCAGCAGCUUAUUUAUGAGAAUGAGCCCACGAAGUGUCAUCCAGCUCCUCUAACAAGUAGCAGGGGAUUAAAGAUCACCGAUGCACAGCCACAGGGAGCGUCCUCAAAAAUGCUGAUGUUCGGCCCCGCUCGCAGGGAGUCUGAUUUCAUUGUCUUGGGUGGAGCACGGGUAUUUUGUAAAACCUCCCCCAGGUGAUUCUGACGCGCAUUCAAGGUUGAGUGAGCGAACCCUUGGCUUUUUAACUCGCAGGUAUAAUGCAGAGUUGUGCGCUGUGUCCUUACCGCCUUCUGCGGGAUGUAAGCGCGUUUCCCAACAGACACUCGGACAAAAUUCUAGAAAGUGUUUUCCUGAGAAGGCUCACUCACUCACUCACUUCGCAUCCCAGUCCUAAACGCAUUGCAACCAGAAAAUGUUAGAGCUAAAAGAGCACCACGUCCUCCCAGAUGACCCAAAGAGGUU